UACAGAGGUCCCAAGCGUUGUUCGGAUUCACUGGGCGUAAAGGUGCGUAGGUGGCUUGGUAAGUUUGAUGUGAAAUCUCCGGGCUUAACCCGGAAAAUGCAUUGAAUACUAUUGAGCUCGAGGUUUGGAGGGGGGAUUGGAAUUCUCGGUGUAGCAGUGAAAUGCGUAGAUAUCGAGAGGAACACCAGUGGCGAAGGCGGAUCCCUGGACAACACCUGACACUGAGGCACGAAAGCUAGGGGAGCAAACAGG
rnacentral:rRNA from 1 species